UACAGAGGUCCCAAGCGUUGUUCGGAUUCACUGGGCGUAAAGGGUGCGUAGGCGGUCGGGUAAGUCUGAUGUGAAAUCUCACAGCUUAACUGUGAAACUGCAUUGGAUACUAUCCGGCUAGAGGAAUGGAGGGGAGACUGGAAUACUUGGUGUAGCAGUGAAAUGCGUAGAUAUCGAGUGGAACACCAGUGGCGAAGGCGAGUCUCUGGAAAGUUCCUGACGCUGAGGCACGGAAGCCAGGGGAGCAAACGGG
rnacentral:rRNA from 1 species